AUUGAACGCUGGCGGCAGGCCUAACACAUGCAAGUCGAGCGGAGCGAGGGACGGGCGAGUAAUGCAUAGGAAUCUGCCUGGUCGUGGGGGAUAACGUCAGGAAACGGGCGCUAAUACCAUAUCCUAUCAGAUGAGCCUAGGUUGGAUUAGCUGGUUGGUGGGGUAAAGGCCUACCAAGGGGACGAUCCGUAACUGGUCGGAGAGGAUGAUCAGUCAGACUGGAACGGAGACACGGCCCAGACUCCUACGGGAGGCAGCAGUGGGGAAUAUUGGACAAUGGGCGAAAGCCUGAUCCAGCCAUGCGCCGUGUGUGAAGAAGGUUUUCGGAUUGUAAAGCACUUUAAUUUAGGAGGCGGUACCAACAGAAUAAGCACCGGCUAACUUCGUGCCAGCAGCCGCGGUAAUAC
rnacentral:rRNA from 1 species